CCCUUAGAUGUUCUGGGCCGCACGCGCGCUACACUGAUGCAUUCAACAAGCCUAGCCUUGACCGAGAGGUCCGGGUAAUCUUUGAAACUGCAUCGUGAUGGGGCUAGAUUAUUGCAAUUAUUAAUCUUCAACGAGGAAUGCCUAGUAAGCGUGAUUCAUCAAAUCGCGUUGAUUACGUCCCUGCCCUUUGUACACACCGCCCGUCGCUCCUACCGAUUGGAUGAUCCGGUGAGCUAUUCGGACUUUCGCAUUGUCGAUUUUCGGCUUUACGAGGGAAAGUCUCGCGAACCUUAUCAUCUAGAGGAAGGAGAAGUCGUAACA
rnacentral:rRNA from 1 species